AUCAAAUCAGCUCAAGUGCGGAACAGAUGCUCAUCUGCGAGCGAUUGGGUAAGAAAUAUUUCGAUCCGUCUGCCCGUCUUCCUCCUCUCCCGCCCGCCGUUUAGCCUCCGGUGCGCUCUAGCAACCAACACGCGGGUGUUAGCGGGCAUGCCUGUGCAAGAAGGCAUCUUCUCUUUUCAACGCUGUCAUUCUUUACGCCUCGCUCUUCAUUUUGUAUGAGGACGUCUCGGAGACAAGCAGAGGCGCAUUCGGAUAGCGCAUGAAAUAAUCAUCGCGUGAUGAAAUAUUUAGAGGCAAAAGACACAUGAAGAGAUGAGAAAUGCCAAGUGUUUGCGCCCCUCGUGAACACGUCUGCAAUUCUGUGGGGUGUUUUUUGGGACCGGAGGACAGAUAUGAGAAACGGUUUCCUGACGACGGGCGCGUCGAUUCACAUUGCGUUAUGUGCAAACACAGUGGGUGAGUUUGGGAAGGUAUUUGAAGACUGGCGGCUCAACAACCUGGCAGUGCAACAACUUUUAGAUUGAAUGUCGCUAGGUUGGCAAAUUGUUUGCUGAGAAUAGCAGGAUAGACAUUACAAGAAAUUGCCAAGGUCAAAAGUCAAUGCGUCAACUUACGAGUGACCCUGAACACAAAUGGUGCUGAAACACAUGAAGACAGUCAAAAUAAUACUCAUUGCACCCAUAACACAAAGCAUCACUGUAUUUGGGUUGCUCCUAAUAAUCGGGAAACUAGCACCUCUCGCAUAUAAGGUCACUUUCCUGUUCUAUGGUUAUCGUUACAAAAAGCCACAUCAAAUUCAAAACUCACACUUCUAUUACACACAGAUUCACAAAUGCCUGGUCCUCAUUAAUGGCGGGUGUUUUUUUUUUCCCUUGCCACGAGCAAAUGUACUGCGUAAUUAAAGUCGGACCGAGACUCCAUUUAUUGUCAUGACACACCAGCCAGCACCUCUUCUGACAGCAGAAACGUGCCUCGAAGCUUUCAUGGGAAUGGAAGGACAGAAGGGACCCAGAAAGGAAAAGUCACGUUCACGCUGGCCGACGGGAAGUCGGACAUUUUCAUGCAAGGACGCGUCUACUUGGAAUAACAGCCCUCUGUUGUUUCACACCAAGCUUUCGACGUGCACUUAGUGCAUUUGCAUGAGACGGAACAACAGGAAAUGAAUAUUCCAGCUACACAUGGAAAGGAAGAUUGCCCAAACAAGAAACAGGAUGAACUGCAGUCGUGUUCGGAAUAAUAGUGUUUUUUUUUCAUCAUGCGUAAUGUAAAA